rnacentral:rRNA from 1 species
UACGGGGGGGGUAAGCGUUGUUCGGAAUUACUGGGCGUAAAGGGCUCGUAGGCGGCCAACUAAGUCAUACGUGAAAUCCCUCAGCUUAACUGGGGAACUGCGUGUGAUACUGGAUGGCUUGGAUUUGGGAGAGGGAUGCGGAAUUCCAGGUGUAGCGGUGAAAUGCGUAGAUAUCUGGAGGAACACCGGUGGCGAAGGCGGCAUCCUGGACCAAUAUUGACGCUGAGGAGCGAAAGCCAGGGGAGCAAAGCAGG